rnacentral:rRNA from 1 species
GACGAACGCUGGCGGCGUGCUUAACACAUGCAAGUCGAACGAAGAGCGAUGGAAGCUUGCUUCUAUCAAUCUUAGUGGCGAACGGGUGAGUAACGCGUAAUCAACCUGCCCUUCAGAGGGGGACAACAGUUGGAAACGACUGCUAAUACCGCAUACGAUCUAAUCUCGGCAUCGAGGAUAGAUGAAAGGUGGCCUCUACAUGUAAGCUAUCACUGAAGGAGGGGAUUGCGUCUGAUUAGCUAGUUGGAGGGGUAACGGCCCACCGAGGCGAUGAUCAGUAGCCGGUCUGAGAGGAUGAACGGCCACAUUGGGACUGAGACACGGCCCAGACCCCUACGGGAGGCAGCAGUGGGGAAUCUUCCGCAAUGGACGAAAGUCUGACGGAGCAACGCCGCGUGAGUGAUGACGGCCUUCGGGUUGUAAAGCUCUGUUAAUCGGGACGAAAGGCCUUCUUGCGAAUAGUGAGAAGGAUUGACGGUACCGGAAUAGAAAGCCACGGCUAACUACGUG